rnacentral:rRNA from 1 species
UACGUAGGUGGCAAGCGUUGUCCGGAUUUACUGGGCGUAAAGAGCGCGCAGGCGGUCGCAUAAGUCGAGUGUGAAAGCCCCCGGCUUAACUGGGGAGGGUCAUUCGAUACUGCUCGACUUGAAGGCAGGAGAGGGUAGUGGAAUUCCCGGUGUAGUGGUGAAAUGCGUAGAUAUCGGGAGGAACACCAGUGGCGAAGGCGACUACCUGGCCUGUUCUUGACGCUGAGGCGCGAAAGCUGGGGGAGCAAACGGG